GACGAACGCUGGCGGCGUGCCUAAUACAUGCAAGUUGAGCGCUGAAGGCUGGUACUUGUACCAACUGGAUGAGCAGCGAACGGGUGAGUAACGCGUGGGGAAUCUGCCUUUGAGCGGGGGACAACAUUUGGAAACGAAUGCUAAUACCGCAUAAAAACUUUAAACACAAGUUUUAAGUUUGAAAGAUGCAAUUGCCUCACUCAAAGAUGAUCCCGCGUUGUAUUAGCUAGUUGGUGAGGUAAAGGCUCACCCAGGCGAUGAUACAUAGCCGACCUGAGAGGGUGAUCGGCCACAUUGGGACUGAGACACGGCCCAAACUCCUACGAGAGGCAGCAGUAGGGAAUCUUCGGCAAUGGACGAAAGUCUGACCGAGCAACGCCGCGUGAGUGAAGAAGGUUUUCGGAUCGUAAAACUCUGUUGGUAGAGAAGAACGUUGGUGAGAGUGGAAAGCUCAUCAAGUGACGGUAACUACACAGAAAGGGACGGCUAACUACGUG
rnacentral:rRNA from 1 species